UCCAACCUCUCCACGUCAGCUAAACUUAGAGGCUAGAAUGGCUUUAAGGAGAGUUGAACAUGCAAUUAAAAAUGCACAGCUUACUAGAGUUGAUCCUAAAGAAAUAGUGUAUUUAUUAAUAUUUCCAACUGAGCAUACUCCAACAGGAGCCAUAUGGCAAAGAUUAGGAGUUAUUGAGUGGAUUUAUUUAUCCCACUCUCCUGAAAAGACAUUAAUUCCUUUUCAUGAUUCUAUAGCUCAAUUAGUAAUUAAAGGUAGAACUAGGAUUUUACAGUUAAUUGGAUCUGAGCCUGAUAUCAUAAUUAUUCUAUUUUCUAUUCAACAGACUAAUUGGCUUUUUCAAACUUCUAGCUCAUGGCAGAUAGCUUUUGCUGAUUUUGCUGGCCAGAUAGAUAGCCAUUAUCCUCGUGAUAAGAUUAUACAAUUUGCAUCAUUAACGUCACUUAUUUUUCCAAAGAUUGUAAGUGCACAUCCUAUAGAUGAAGCUUUAUCAGUGUUCACGGAUGGUUCUAACUCAGGUAAAGCAUGUUUUUAUAGUCGUGUUCACACAGAGGUAAUACAAACUUCUUAUACUUCUGCCCAAAGAGCAGAGCUUCAAGCUCUGAUUUGUGCCUUAAAUUACUUUUCUAAUGAGCCUAUUAAUAUUUAUUCUGACAGCUUAUAUGCAGUCGGAGUUACUAAAAAUAUUGAAACUUUAGUUAUUGGGUAUACUUCAUCACAAGAGUUAUUUGAGUUAUUUCAUAAUUUACAAAAGACAGUGCUAAUGCGAAAGCACCCAUGUUUCAUAGGGCACAUACAGGCUCAUACUAAUCUUCCAGGACCCUUAGUUUCAGGUAAUGACAAGAUUGAUAAAUUAGUAACUUUUUGUCAACAGAUGUCUUCAUAUGACUGUGCACUAGCUUCCCAUUCCUUGCAUCAUCAAAAUGCUUCUAGCUUACAUAAAAAAUUUAAUAUUACUAGAGAACAAGCUCGUCAGAUUGUAAGCCAGUGCCCUAAGUGUGUUAUUCACACUCCAUCUCUACCAUCAGGGGUAAACCCCCGUGGAUUAAAACCAAAUCAAAUAUGGCAAAUGGAUGUAACUCAUAUUCCUCAAUUUGGUAAACAAUGUUAUGUGCAUGUCAUAGUGGACACUUAUUCUAGAUUUAUUUUUGCCACAGCACGUACUAAGGAAAAUACUCAACAUGUAAUUUCUCAUUGCUUAGCAGCCUUUUCUGUUUUAGGGUGCCCUAUACAGAUUAAAACAGAUAAUGUUCCAGCUUAUGUAAGCUCUUCUUUUCAACAAUUUUGCCAAGAGUUUAAAAUUAAUCAUAAAACAGGAAUUCCUUAUAACCCUCAAGGCCAAGCCAUUGUGGAACGAGCUCAUUUAUCUAUUAAGCUUCAAUUACAAAAAUUAAAGGGGGGGAAUAGGUUUAUGACUCCCCAAAAUAGGAGCCCCUAUCCAGAAGGAGGAGAUAUCGGAAAAGGAUGAAGAAAGACCAGAUUGACCCAGCCGAAAAGCUGAUUUCAUGGGAAGACGUGAAGAAGCUAACAACCCAGGCUUCCCGAAUACUUCGACACCUAAGAGAGAACAGGACCCCAGUGAUGAUGGUAGCAACAGUAAUUGCCCUGUUGGGCUGUCAGGUAAAGGGGGAUCAAGUAGACACUUACUGGACAUAUUUCCCAGAUCCACCCCUGGUACACCCAGCUGUGUGGACUGGAGAAUCUAUUCCAGUAUUUACUAAUGACUCAUUCAUGAUGGGAGGAUUUACAGAUACUCAUAUUACUCCCAAUCAUGUGACUAGAUUUAAUUAUUCUGGCUACAGUGCCCAAUUACCUUUGUGUUGGUCACACGAUAAACAUGCUGGCUGUCUGAAAGUAUCAUUCGAAGAAAAGACAGCGAUUGGUAGACCUAGACUGACAAAUAAUUGUAUUUAUGGGGACUUAAGACCUUAUACUAGAUCAGUAAUUAAGAUGGGACUUUCCCAUAACAAGCCAGUCAUUUCUGCAAAACCUCCACAGAUACCCCACUGUCCAAAUAGUUCUACAAUUGAGAUUGGCACCUUUCCUAGAUGGAUGGAUUGUGUAAAUACCUUUCCUGUACAACAUAAGGUGUCUAAAGAUAGUGGGUAUAUUUUAGACUGGUCUCCAAAAAUUGAUAAGAGACAAUUACGAAGAAAUUCUGCUAUGACUCCUGCAGGAUUUGUUAGUAAUAUUUUAACUUAUAGUGAAGGUGGUGUUCAGAAAGAUGUUUGGCGUUUAAUUGCUGCCUCAAAAUUCUUACAUUUUACAGACAAACCUUUACCAAAAUUUGUUGGCAAGAACUGUAAAGAGGGAUCUUGCUAUGGCUUACGAGCCUGUGUCCAAUCUCCUUAUGUUUUAAUUAUUGGAAAUGUAAAAGUUAAAUGGAUAGAUGACAGAUAUAUUGUUACUUGUAAUAAAUGCAACCUAACCAAUUGUAUUACUAGGUAUAAUGGAGGAAAAGGAGUGCUGAUACUUCAUCAGCCCUCUUUCAUUUUAUUACCUGCUAAUAUUUCAGAGCCAUGGUAUGCUGAUACUGGUUUACAAGUCUUGCAGCAAAUUCAUGCCCAGUUAGCAAGACCUAAACGUGCUAUUGGAGUUAUAAUUGUUGGUGUUUUGGCGCUAGUCUCCUUUAUUGCCUCAACUGUCUCUGCGUCUCUGACAUUGUCUCAGAAUAUUCAGCAUGCAAAAUUUCUUAAUAAUUUAGCUCAAAAUACUUCCAAGGCUCUGCGUAAUCAAGUAAAUAUUGAUGAAAGGAUUGAGACUAAAUUAAACACCUUAGAGGCGACUGUUAUAGACAUAGGUAAUGAACUUUCAGCCUUAAAAUUUAAGGAAAGGCUUAAAUGCCAUGCCAAUUAUAAGUAUGUUUGUGUUACAGCUGCCAAGUACAAUGCUUCUCUCUGGGAUUGGGAGAAGGUUAAAAACCAUUUGUUAGGUAUUUGGCAAAAUAGUAAUAAUAGCUUGGAUAUUCUGGAACUUCAUCACCAUAUCCAAGACAUUCAAAAUAAUAGAGCUGAUUUUUCAGAUCCUUCUUCUUUGGCAAACAAAAUAUUAAAGGAGUUGAAUGGAUUCAACCCUGGAAAUAUUCUUAAACACUCGGCCUGGUACAUUAUUGGAUUAUUCUCUUUGCUGUUAAUUCUCUUUUGUGUUGUAAUUAUAGGAUGGCGAGUCUUCGGAACAAGAAUACAGAAACUCCAAAGAGUGAACCGCCGCCUCAUUUUUAAGAAUAAAAAGGGGGAAUAUGUGGGUGACUCCCGGUUUGGGUCUGAGGCUUCUGGCUGUGUCGGAAUUUUCCCAGCCCUCUCCUGAUGAGAGAACCCAUCCGUGUGGGGGUGUGACUAACCACUGACCCCGGGGGCCCAAUCACUGACCCUGACCUUGGAGUGCGGCCCCCCCUCAACCUUCAUUGGAUGGAAUUAUCCCCUGAAUUUCUUGUUCCCCAAUAAAAGGCUACUCCCAGGCGUGUUCACUCUCUCUCUCUCCUGCUAGCCCUGAGUAAUCCUUGCUGCCCUGCUGGGCGGUUAGAGGUUGGAGCCAGAGAGGGGAGCCGUCUCGGACCUGGCAAUAGAAAUAAGGUAACUGAGUCUGUGUGUUUUAUUUCGAUCUCUUCUAGCUAACUUUUAUGCCAAGAACCUCAUUAAUGAAACCAUUGCGC
rnacentral:lncRNA from 1 species